rnacentral:lncRNA from 1 species
UAUAUGUAACUUAUAUCAUAAUAAAUAAUUUAUGUAAUAGUUUAUAAUGUUAUUUUAAAAAUCUUUAUAUUGGGUUCUCUUGGGCUUUCAGUUCAAGUCCAUUAGCUAAAGCACAACCCUAAAUACAUAUAUAAAGGAAAAAUUAGUAAAUUAGGGUUUUCACAAAUAAUAAAAGCCGCUUCUUCCUCUUCUUUAGUUCAACGCUUCUUCUUUAUUUCUUCUUCAUGUUUCUAUCUUUCUUCUUCAUUUUGGUUCGAUGUUGCUAUUUUGCUACAAUCUAAAGAUACCCCUUUUUGCUAACUAUGAAGUCAGGUAUACCUUUUUUUGCAUCUCUCUCCUCCUGAUCUAUUAUUUUCUGAUUUUAUAGCAAAGAUUUCAAAGAAAAAGAAGAUCUUGGCAAAUCCGCUGGUUUCUCUAUCCCACCGCCACCGCCACCGCUUCACCUUAUCCCACCGCCACCGCUUCACCUUAUCCUACCGCCACCGCCACUGCCAUUCCUCCGCUGUCUUUUAACUACAACGCAGCUUUUCUAAUUGAUGAAAUCCAGAUUGCUAAAGAAAAGGCACAAGAGAUCUCUACUCAAUAGUGUUGAUAAUGGUGCUUCUUAUGAUUAUAGUGACAUAUCUAGUAUUUAGCUCAUCUGGUUUGUUCUUUCAAAGAGAAGAUGUAUUGAAAGCAACGAUGUUUGUCUAUUUUGGUUUAGGUUGAUAUUGUAGAUAUUUAAUUUUGAUUUCUAAUCUUAACCGAUUUGAUCCGUUUGUAUUUAGAAUUCUUUACUAUUUUAAAAGAAAAAGAAUUGUAUUUUUGUUUAAUAAAUUUGAAUAAAAACUACAAAUUUUAAUAGUCGGAUUUAUUUACAUUAAUUAUAAAUUUUACUUUUAUUUCGAAAUUAAUCUAAUUAUUGUAAAUUAAUUUCAUUAAUUUUAUAUUUUAUCAUUUUCGUAGGAAAAUAGUGAGAGUUAUUUGGUAGGAAAGUGGAAGAAACAUAUUUACUACAACUAUUUUGGAAGGAAAAUGGUAAAUAAAAUUCCUUCUAUUUUCCUACGAAAUUUCC